AAAGUCCGCUUGGUCACUUUAACUGUUUAGACUACGUUACCCAUGAUGCACCUCGGUAUCUGUACUUCCGGUUGGGAACGUGUUCAGCGCAGUUCUGCACAGAUGAGAGGUGUGUCGGAGGUGUCGGAGGAUUAACGUUUUUCCUUGCAUUCGUGUGUGUGUUAACCCUGUGUGCGUGCUUAUCAUAUGACCACACACACUCAUAUACACACUCACACUCCCUUUCCCUGCAUGUGAAUGCUGUAAUGCAAUCGCUUCCCCACCGACGCUGUACAUCCUGUUGAUGUCAUCUGCCACCUCCUUAUUAAAGUUACUUGAACUACAUCACUGUGGAGUGCCAUUCCUUCUGACCGAGGACGACUCAGUUGAAGCGUGAUCGGCAAUCAGUGCAAACAUACAUAACAAGUGGUCCUUCGAGCCGGAUUGCCUUGGCUGAGUUAAUGAGAUGGCAAACCCUCAGGAUAGAGGUGCAUCGAGUAGCCCCCGUCCAAAGCGGGAGAAGAAACUUCCGGGACAUCUGGUGGACUAUGAGCACAACCUAACUGAGCCAUCCGAGCCAUCUAGAGCUCCAAGUAGUUCAAGCAGCUCCGAUAAUGAAGAGGAGGAGAGAUGGCAGAAGAUGGAAUCAGUCUGGAACAGUGUCCUCCAUCACAUGACUCAAUUGCAGGUAUCUAUGGAGGAAACUCGUGGGACAUUACUAAAGCGGGUGGAGCGUUUGGAGCAGGCUUCUAAACCUGGCAGUCCUCUCCCCCCAGAAACAGGAGCGUUAGAACAACUCCAACCUAGUUCCUCCAUAACAGAAGUUGCACCACUACAACCUAGCAGUGA